CCUUGAUUGAGGUUUCGGCCAAAUGAUAGGAAUGCUUAGUGGCGGACUGGUGAGUAACGCGUGAGGAACCUGCCUUUCAGAGGGGGACAACAGUUGGAAACGGCUGCUAAUACCGCAUGACGCAUUUUGAUCGCAUGGUCGAAAUGCCAAAGAUUUAUCGCUGAAAGAUGGCCUCGCGUCUGAUUAGCUAGUUGGUGAGGUAACGGCCCACCAAGGCGACGAUCAGUAGCCGGACUGAGAGGUUGACCGGCCACAUUGGGACUGAGAUACGGCCCAGACUCCUACGGGAGGCAGCAGUGGGGAAUAUUGGGCAAUGGGCGCAAGCCUGACCCAGCAACGCCGCGUGAAGGAAGAAGGCUUUCGGGUUGUAAACUUCUUUUAAGUGGGAAGAGUAGAAGACGGUACCACUUGAAUAAGCCACGGCUAACUACGUGCCAGCAGCCGCGGUAAUACGUAGGUGGCAAGCGUUGUCCGGAUUUACUGGGUGUAAAGGGCGUGCAGCCGGGCAUGCAAGUCAGAUGUGAAAUCUCAGGGCUUAACCCUGAAACUGCAUUUGAAACUGUAUGUCUUGAGUGCCGGAGAGGUAAUCGGAAUUCCUUGUGUAGCGGUGAAAUGCGUAGAUAUAAGGAAGAACACCAGUGGCGAAGGCGGAUUACUGGACGGUAACUGACGGUGAGGCGCGAAAGCGUGGGGAGCGAACAGGAUUAGAUACCCUGGUAGUCCACGCUGUAAACGAUGG
rnacentral:rRNA from 1 species